ACUUCGCCGUCGGCGACUUGAGCU
rnacentral:snRNA from 1 species